rnacentral:rRNA from 1 species
UACGGAGGGGGCUAGCGUUGUUCGGAAUUACUGGGCGUAAAGCGCACGUAGGCGGCUUUGCAAGUCAGAGGUGAAAGCCCGGGGCUCAACCCCGGAAUUGCCUUUGAGACUGCAUCGCUAGAAUUGUGGAGAGGUAAGUGGAAUUCCGAGUGUAGAGGUGAAAUUCGUAGAUAUUCGGAAGAACACCAGUGGCGAAGGCGACUCACUGGACACAUAUUGACGCUGAGAGGCGAAAGCAUGGGGAGCGAACAGG